CGCCCAUCAGUAGCCGGGUUAGGCAUCGGCACCCCAACGACCACGAAAGGGAAGAAGCGGUCAAGAAGAUGGAUGGAUGUAGCAGGACGAAAUGAGCUGCACCUGCUACACAGGUGUUGGCAAUCCAGGGGAUUGCCAAAGGGGUGUGGUGGAGCCAAUAAAAGGGCAGAGUUGCUUUGUGCUUGCACACUGCACUCUGACGAGGGGACGCCGCAAUGUGCUACAGGUUCCAGGCCCAGUCAGUGGGGCACCUGAAACAUGGUGAUGGACCUGUAGCACCAGGGUCCCCUCUCCACCGCACCCGCAGAGCAUGUGAUUUGGCAGGAUAGACGGGUCAGACGUGAGCCCCUGCUGCUUUGCCUGGUUUGCCUGCUUUGCCUGUUUUUAUCUUUUUGUUGGUUUCUGCUCCUGUGCUGUGCGGCCAAACUGAAG